GUGAUUUCACCUAUGCGGGAUCAUCCACAGACCUCUGCAGCAGCAAAGGCUAACGAAACUGGAGCCCCCACUCUGCAAACAGGUCUACAGGAGGCUAAGCAGACGAUUGAGGAUCAAAAAAAAAGAUUGCCACCCUAAAAGACUGGGUAGACACAAUUAAAGAGGAGCGAGAUUUCCUCAGGGAAAGACUCAAAGAGGCUCUUGCAGUAAGAAGUGACAAGGGGGGUGAUGUGGCCAGCAAUAUCCCACCUAUAAGGCAGGCACCUGGACAGAGGAAACAGGAGUCAGAUGUAACCGAUUCAUCAUCCUCUGAUUCAUCAUCUGAUUCAGAGCCCGAUUCUGAGUCCUCAGGGGCCAAGAAAGCCAAGAAGAAAAAGUCCCAGCCAAAAAAGGCCAAAAAAAUGGGCAAGAAACUAAGAGGUAUGCAGUGAGUCAUACACAAAUUGAU